UUGGAUUCGUGGGAGUUCAGGUGUCUUUUCUCAACUCAAAGAUUCCUCUUUGAGAUUUGAGCUAAACUUGGAGAAGAAGAAGAAGGAGGAAGCCCUUUCAGUUUGCCCAGUAAUCCAGAAUGUGUAAGGAGGGGAGUAGGUCAGGUCCGUCCGUCCGUCCGUCGGUUGGGGUGGAAAAGUCGAAUAAGGCACACACAUUUUCUUCCUUGUUGCUUAAUAAUAGGGAUGCAAAGUGUCUUCGGAAAUAAGCAGCCUAAAAAUAUGCUCAAUAUAUACUUCUACGUUUCGUACAUUUGCAGAUAAAACACGUUGCACCCAAAUAACUAUUGCAUUACCCGAAUUACUGUGUAAAUAAGGAGAUGCCAACCUUGAGCAUCAGCAAUUUUUUUCAUGAAAUCUCGAGAUAUAUUUUUGUUGAAUCCUCCAAAGCCUUGUCUCAUUCUUUAUCUUGGAGAUCAAUAUCAAAUGGGAUGAAGAGACUGCAAGAAAAUAAAUGUGUGUGCGAGAUACACAGGUUUUGUUGAAGAGCUCCACAAUUCCUACCUUUGCUGAUACAUAGCCAAUGGACCCUAAAAGAAAAUUCAUCCCAUAUCGUCGAAUGCAAGGAUGGAUUUUUACUUUUAUUCUAUUAAUAGAGUGUUUUACAGGCAUUUCUCCUCUCGAGGUGUAUGCAAUGCAAGGGUACAGCGUGCGGGGUUGCGUAAUCAUGUGCACAUUGAGGAGGAGAGACGAUGGAUGCAAUUUUUGAACCUUUUUCGAAUUGACAGGUCCUGUUGUCUUUCUUGACCCUUUGUUCAGGUAAAAGAGAAGGCAUUAUAGAAAUAACCCACCACCACGUCUUAUACACGGAUCAUUAUGAACACUGAGCUGUACAUAAGCACACACGGACGACCGUAUAUAUUUUUGGCUUUUUCCCCAAAAUACUUACAACUAAAUACUUCAAUUCUUCCAGACUUCAAACAAAAAUGAGAAUGCUUUUUUUGGAAAAUAAUGAAUUCUUCCCGUCAUUCUCCUCGUACAUAUAUUUUUGAAAGAUGAGAUAUUUAGGUCGACGGAAAAUAAAAAAAACUCAGUGAUUUUUAUCCCUUCAAAUACACCACGCGUAUUAAGUUCCUGAAAUAAUGAGCCCAAAAAAGUUGUCCUGUUGCCCUACAUAAUUUUAUUUACUUGGAACUACAUAUGUAUGUCGAGCGAUAUCUAAUAUUCAUUUAGGAUCGGAAAUUCACCUUCACUUUUAUCGACGAUUUAUGUUCACCAACCACCAAGGAAGAGAUCAUUUAGGAGCGUGACGAUUACACGUGAGGUACUCUGAACUUUAUGUACUUUUACAUAUUAAUUCGUAUUAAUUGCAUUGAACUCCCAGCCACCUCUGCCUGCAUCGCCCAACGAUCGUUUUUUAUGUCCGAAGCAGGCACACACACGGAUGAACUCGCCGAUGAUGGGAUUGCACUGCAUGGGCAUCGCACUCGCUGGCUCAAUGAUCAGUGCAAGAGGAGUCAGUUUGCGAAGGAGUGUCUUCUUUCCUUGCAGUUAUGCAUUAUUCAGAAAAAGUUGCAUUGCAACUACUCCUUCUUUUCCGGCGCAAGUUGCAUUCUCAUGCAGGGGGAAACUACAAUAUGCUCCGUACAACAAAGUGUCACAGUCUCUUGUCGAACAAAAAAAAGCCAGACUGCAGCAGACCAGACCCAGACGGACGACGACGAGCAUAAGCAAACUCACUCUCACUCCAGUUCCACACACGACGACGAACGAAGAGAGAGAUAAACCAAGAGGAAUACACACUUAGCAGAAAAAUCAUUAUGAUCCCGGGUAUGAAAUUCUAUCGUGGCAAAUAAGAAAGAAACUGGUGUUGCCCAAAUAAUAAUUCUGACCUUGUCAACAAUUAUUGUUUGGUUGAAACAUGGUCGCGCGUAUCAUUACCCGAUCAUAUCGAAUGGUGACAACAUUUCGGAGGUGACAAAUUCCUCCAGGAUGACUCGUAAUUCCGUGACACUAAUGAUGACAAAAUGUGUUUAUUUACUUCCGACUUAAUUGACGACAGUCGUACAAUGCUUUUUGUGCUCCUUCCGACACCGCGCACAAUAUAUGGUAACAAAAUCUCUGACCUACCCAAACAAUAAAAACUUUGUUGUUUUCUUA